rnacentral:lncRNA from 1 species
AGAAGUGCGCGCUGCGACACCUCCCAGUUCACUCGGCCCCGCCGCCAUUUCGUCGCCUGGCCUAACGGUUCGGCCAAUCCCGACGCGUAUUGAAAAGAACUAGUGCUCCGCCAAUCGGAGGCCGCUGACUCCGACCUCACCUCGGGCCGGCCCAAUCCAGGCCGCGGCCCCGCCGCCCCCAACCCGCCCCCGCGGCGUCCUCUCUCCUCCCUCUUUGUGCGUCUGGCGCCGCCGCCGCCCGCCGCGUGAGAGGACGGGCUCCCCGCGCUCUUCGGGAGCGUAGUCGGGUCCCCUCCCCCCAACCCGCGAAGGUUCGUGAAGGAGAAGCCGCCGCGGAGGACGAGGAACCGCUGGUGCCGGUCCCCUGGGGCGCCAUGGCGACCGGAGCGAACGCCACGCCGCUGGACUUCCCAAGUAAGAAGAGGAAGAGGAGCCGAUGGAACCAAGACACAAUGGAACAGAAGACAGUGAUUCCAGGCAUGCCUACGGUUAUCCCCCCUGGCCUGACUCGGGAACAAGAAAGAGCUUAUAUAGGUCCCCUUCCCCUGAGCCAAUCUACAACAGCGAGGGGAAGCGGCUUAAUACUCGAGAAUUCCGUACCCGAAAAAAGCUUGAAGAGGAGCGGCAUACCCUCAUUACGGAGAUGGUUGCUCUCAACCCAGACUUUAAACCACCUGCAGAU